GCCCGCGCUCCCGCAGCCCCGCCGCCGGGGCCCACCCCCUCCCGCGGCCCCGCUCGCGGUCACGGUCGCGGUCGCGGUCACGGCCGCGGAGCCUGGCCAGGGGCAGCCCCCGGCCCCGGCGCUCCGACAGCCGCGCCAGCCGCUCCUGCGAAGCCCGCCAGGCGGCGCUCGAGGCCGCGCUGCGCUCCCUGGGCCCCGCUUUCCUGGCCGAGUUCCAGCGCCGCCGCUCCGCGCAUGCGCACGACUCGCCUCGCCGUGCCGCCCGCAGAGCUCCGAGGGUUCCGCGCGCCGAGGGCGGGGCCGGGGGCGGGGCCGGGCCAAGCUCCGCCCCCGAGGCCGCCAAAAGGGAACGGGCCGGGGAGGAGGAGGAGGAGGGGAGACCGGGAAGAGCCAGCCCUACAACCGGCUGCUGCGCGAGGAGCUGCUGAGCUGCAGCACGGUGCUGCAGCUCUCGGAGCUGCCCGACUCGGGCUUCUCCGACCAGGACAUCAAGCGGCUGGUGCAGCCCCUCGGCAAGGUCAGCGACCUCAUCGUGCUGCGCUCCCGCAACGAGGUCAGCCCCAAACCCGGCGAUUUCCACCCCAAUUCCCGACCCCAACGGGCCCAGCUGCUCUGGCGUUUUACACGUGCAGAAAUGGUUUUUUUCCUUCUCUUUUUCCCCCUUUUUUCCUGGUUUUUUUCCCCUGCUUUUCCCCCUUCCCAUUCCCUUUCUUCUCUCUUUUUCCCCCUCCUCUUUUUUCCAUUCUUCCCCUUUUUUCCCC
rnacentral:lncRNA from 1 species